rnacentral:rRNA from 1 species
AUGGCGCCGCAGCUCCUGGGCUACUACUGGGUCUCCUCCUGGCCCCGGCUCCCGCAGGUUCCCCCGUGGCCCUGCGCAUCCCACGCCCAGCGCCGGGUGAUAUGCUUUGGGCCGCCCCGCUGCCGCGCCGGCGCAGUCAGGGUGUUAGCGGAGGUGGACCCUGCGCUGGCCCUGGACCGCGGUGCGAAGGCGGUGGAAAUCCAGUUUCCGACUGAGGAGGACGGUGUGGGGAAUGAGGAAGACGGCGAGGCAGUGGACGAGAGGGAGAUGAUGAGGCGGAUGCGGAUAUCGCAGGCGAACAAGGGGAAUACGCCGUGGAACAAGGGCAGGAAGCACAGCCCAGAGACGCUCCAGCGGAUUCGGGAGAGGACACGGCUUGCUAUGCAGAACCCCAAGGUUAAGAAAAAGCUGAUGAAUCUCGGACAUGCUCAGAGUGAAGAGACCAAAAUUAAGAUAUCAUUGGGAGUGAGGCGUGGGUGGCGCUUGCGUCUACAGAAGCUAAUGGUUCAGGAUGGCUGCUUUGUGCAGUGGCGGGAAAUGAUAGCAAAUGCAGCUAGGAAGGGCUUUGCUGGUGGAGUUGCCUUCCAAUGGAAUUCACAUAAAAUGUUGACUGAGCAACUGCGGCAGGAAUGGUUGGAGAAAGUCCAGCAAAGAAGAUCAAUGCCUAGGCCGACAGGUAAUAGAAGAGCGCCAAAAACCCCAGAGCAGAGGAGAAAAAUUGCAGAAGCCAUUGCUGCGAAGUGGUUGGAUCGAGAAUACCGUGAACGUGUUUGCAGUGCAAUUAAUAGCUAUCAUGGAACAUCUUCUGGAUCUAAAGUACCGCGUAAACAAAGAACUCCGAGAGAACCAGGUGAGAAACUAGAGAUGAUAACGAAGAUUAGAGCCCAAAGGACAGCACUGGAAAUAGAGAAGAAAGAGGCUAUUGAAAGAGCCAGGUCACUCAUUGUAGAAGCCGAGAAAGCUGCAAAUGCUCUUGAGCCUGUUGCAGCGAAAAUUCCAUUUGCUCAAGCAUCACUUAUAGAAGCUAGAAAGCUUGUUACAGAGGCAAGAAUGUCACUCGAAGGUGUUGAUGAUAAUGAUGGGCCAGCAGAAAGUUCUUCUGAUGAUACCUCGGAUGACUCAGGUGUCUCGGAACUGCACAAGUUGGAGAACCAAAAUGACCUUAUUAAACAAGAGAACAAAUCUGUAAAUGGAAUGAAGCUACCUCCAAGGACUGUUAAUGGCAUGGAUUUCUAUUUUGAUGUGUCUGCACUAGGUGAAAAGGAACAACUCAGUAUGUUUCAGAGGAUAGAGAACUCCAUGGAAAGAGCUUAUUUGCUUCCUUCAGCUUUUUCAACAGCUCAAGAUGUGAACGGAAAUCUUGGAACAAAUGAUCUAUGUAUCAGUGAGCAAGUGGUCAAUAACGACCAGAUCGACCGGAUUGCAGCAGAUACAACAGAAUUUAUUUCAGCAGAGCCACUAGAGAAUGUGUCCUCACCUGCUAAUAAGUCUAAGAUGAGAUGGGUACGUGGAAGACUAGUUGAAGGAGAAGAAUAA